GUGAGGAAUAUUGGUCAAUGGGCGGGAGCCUGAACCAGCCAAGUCGCGUGAAGGAAGAAGGAUCUAUGGUUCGUAAACUUCUUUUGCAGGGGAAUAAAGUGCAGGACGUGUCCUGUUUUGUAUGUACCCUGAGAAUAAGGAUCGGCUAACUCCGUGCCAGCAGCCGCGGUAAUACGGAGGAUCCGAGCGUUAUCCGGAUUUAUUGGGUUUAAAGGGUGCGUAGGUGGUUUGAUAAGUCAGCGGUGAAAGUUUGCAGCUUAACUGUAAAAAUGCCGUUGAAACUGUCGGACUUGAGUGUAAAUGAGGUAGGCGGAAUGCGUGGUGUAGCAGUGAAAUGCAUAGAUAUCACGCAGAACUCCGAUUGCGAAGGCAGCUUACUAAGCUACAACUGACACUGAAGCACGAAAGCGUGGGGAUCAAACAGGAUUAGAAACCCCGGUAGUCC
rnacentral:rRNA from 1 species